ACGGAGGAUGCAAGCGUUAUCCGGAUUCAUUGGGUUUAAAGGGUGCGCAGGCGGAAUGAUAAGUCAGUGGUGAAAUUCUACGGCUCAACUGUUAACCUGCCAUUGAUACUGUCAAUCUAGAGUAUAGUUGGCGUGGGCGGAAUGUGUCAUGUAGCGGUGAAAUGCUUAGAUAUGACACAGAACACCGAUCGCGAAGGCAGCUCACUAAGUUAGAACUGACGCUCAUGCACGAAAGCGUGGGGAUCAAACAG
rnacentral:rRNA from 1 species